AUCACACAGAUUGGUUGCUUGCCUUCUAUCAAGAAAAAUUCACGAGUACUCCAAGGUUCAAAUGGCUAACGUCUGCGACAUUUGUGGUAUUGGUGUAAUACCGUGCACCUUAGAUCAUGAACAAGUACAUAAAUUCUGGGCGAUAGUUCCAGAGAAUCAUCGUUAUGGGAUUAAUUGUACUUUGCCGAGGCAUUUAGCCAUUUAGGUACUACAUCGAGCAACAAUAUUUCACAGUGAAGACUUCUCACGGAUCUGGCUACAGGAUGUGUGCGAGAGAGAAUGGAGAUAGAAUUUUUAUAGAGGGCAUUGGAUGGGAUUGCUUUUACUACGACUAUGAUAUAAGAAGAGGAGACACGAUACAUUUUCGCUACAACUAUAAAGAUUUUGUGAUGUAUAUGUCCCCAAUACAUCCAAAUGGUGAACCAAAGGUUAUAAUUACCGAUGUAUUUGACGAAGAAGAAAGACCUGUUGCAUACGACAAUGGGUUUAAUCUAAUACAAAGGCAAGUCAACAACAUGCGUACUUUAGUACAGACUUAUGAGGACUAUCCUGCGCAGGUCCAUUGCUUUACAACUGCCAACAUAUAUGGUAAUUAUUUGGUAAUACAUAGACCAAUAGUUGGGAGCCUUGGUCUACAACAAUAUGGUUUACUUUUACUGGAAAUGAGCCGGCAAACACACCAAUCAACAUAAGUUGAUUAUCAUAUUAAAAGAGAUGCCUGUCUCAAAAUUAACGGUCCUGCAUGGAGUAAUUUUGUAAGUCAACAUGAGAUAUAUGUUGACGUGUGUGUAGUAAUACUUGUUAUUCCUGAAAACAAUAGGCAGGAAGUGACGUUGAGAUUCAAACCUAUUACACCAGUUGGAAGGCAAAUAUUAAGUUCCGAUGAAGAUUCUGAUUCAAAAGAUGAAGAC